CUCAGUCAUGGCUGCCACGUGGCUCAGGCAUGGCUAAGCUAUAUCUCAUGGGUGGCUCCCCUGUGGUUCAUGCGUGCUUCAAGCAUGGAACAUGUGUGUUUCACAGGUUCUUCAGAUGAGGUUCAAGGGUGUCUCCCAUGUGGUUGCUGCAUGGCUCACACAUGGUUUGCGUGUAAUUCAGGCGUGGAUCUCACACGACUCAUCUGGGGGACACAUGGUUGAGGACACUCUCACACAUGGUUCAAGCAUAACUCAGCCAUGGCUCACACGUGAUGCAGGCGUGCCACAGAACUGUCUCCCAUGUGGCUGACACAUGAUACAGGCUUUGUUCACGCAUGGGUCACACAUGGUUCAGGUGUGGCUCAUGCAUGUCUGUCGUGUUGGUCAGGUGUGGCUCACAUGUGUUUUUGGCAUGGGUGGCACGUGGUUCAGGCAUGGCAGGCAAGUUGUGCCAGUGUGGCUGACACGUGCUUCAAGUGAGGCUGACCUGCGGUUCAAGAGUGAGUGGCACUUGGUUCAGGCCUGGCUGGCACGUGACUUGGCACGGCUGAGCCUUGACACAGGUGUGGUUCACACGUUGUUCAGUCGUGGCUGACACACGACUCAGGUGAGAUGGAAAUGUGACACAGGCGUGCCUGACACAUCAUGCAGGUGUGGUUCACACAUGGUUCAUGCAUGGCCUUCGUGUGAUUCAGGCGUGGCUGGUGCAUGGUGCACGCAUGGGUGGCAGGUGGUUCAGACGUGGCUGAAAUGUGGCUCCAGCAUGUGUGAAACAGGACUCCGGUGUGGCUGACACGUGACUCAGGCAUGCAACGCCCAGUAGCCAUGUGUGAUGGAAAGGUGAUCACGCAGGAGUCACAUGCCAUACAUGGUGGCUCCCACGGGACUACAGGUUGCUGAAACGUGGCUCCCACAUACUCAGUCAUGGCUGCCACGUGGCUCACGCAUGGCUCAGAUGUGUCUCAUGGGUGGCUCCCCUGUGGUUCAUGCGUGCUUCAAGCAUGGAACAUGUGUGUUUCACAGGUUCUUCAGAUGUGGUUCAAGGGUGUCUCCCAUGUGGUUCCUGCAUGGCUCACACAUGGUUCAGGUGUAAUUCAGGCGUGGAUCUCACACGACUCAUGUGGGUCACAUAUGGUUGUGGACACUCUCACAUGUGGUUCAGGCAUAGCUCAGCCAUGGCUCACAUGUGACGCAGACGUGCCACAGAGCUGGUUCACAUGUGGCUGAUACAUGCUACAGGCUUUGGUCACACAUGGCUCACACAUGGUUCAGGUGUGGCUCAUGCAGGUCUGUGGUGUUGGUCAGGUGUGGCUCACAUGUGUUUUUGGCAUGGAUGGCACGUGGUUCAGGCAUGGCAGGCAAGUUGUGCCAGUGUGGCUGACACGUGCUUCAAGUGAGGCUGACCUGUGGUUUAAGUGUGACUGACACUUGGUUCAAGCCUGGCAGG
rnacentral:lncRNA from 1 species